rnacentral:rRNA from 1 species
UACGGAAGGCAGCAGUGGGGAAUAUUGCACAAUGGGCGCAAGCCUGAUGCAGCCAUGCCGCGUGUAUGAAGAAGGCCUUCGGGUUGUAAAGUACUUUCAGCGGGGAGGAAGGCGAUGCGGUUAAUAACCGCGUCGAUUGACGUUACCCGCAGAAGAAGCACCGGCUAACUCCGUGCCAGCAGCCGCGGUAAUACGGAGGGUGCAAGCGUUAAUCGGAAUUACUGGGCGUAAAGCGCACGCAGGCGGUCUGUUAAGUCAGAUGUGAAAUCCCCGGGCUUAACCUGGGAACUGCAUUUGAAACUGGCAGGCUUGAGUCUUGUAGAGGGGGUAGAAUUCCAGGUGUAGCGGUGAAAUGCGUAGAGAUCUGGAGGAAUACCGGUGGCGAAGGCGGGCCCCCUGGACAAAGACUGACGCUCAGGUGCGAAAGCGUGGGGAGCAAACAGGAUUAGAUACC